AACGAACGCUGGCGGCAGGCCUAACACAUGCAAGUCGAACGCCGUAGCAAUACGGAGUGGCAGACGGGUGAGUAACACGUGGGAACGUACCCUUCGGUUCGGGAUAACUCAGGGAAACUUGAGCUAAUACCGGAUACGUCCGAGAGGAGAAAGAUUUAUUGCCGAGGGAUCGGCCCGCGUCUGAUUAGCUUGUUGGUGAGGUAACGGCUCACCAAGGCGACGAUCAGUAGCUGGCUGAGAGGAUGAUCAGCCACAUUGGGACUGAGACACGGCCCAAACUCCUACGGGAGGCAGCAGUGGGGAAUAUUGGACAAUGGGCGCAAGCCUGAUCCAGCCAUGCCGCGUGAGUGAUGAA
rnacentral:rRNA from 1 species